rnacentral:rRNA from 1 species
CCUACGGGUGGCAGCAGUGAGGAAUAUUGCGCAAUGGGCGAAAGCCUGACGCAGCGACGCCGCGUGGGCGACGAAGGCCUUCGGGUUGUAAAGCCCUUUUGGCAGGGACGAGUGAGGACGGUACCUGCCGAAUAAGUCUCGGCUAACUACGUGCCAGCAGCCGCGGUAAAACGUAGGAGGCGAGCGUUAUCCGGAUUUACUGGGCGUAAAGCGCGCGUAGGCGGUCGGUCAAGUCAGAUGUUAAAGCCCCUGGCUCAACUAGGGGAGGUCAUUUGAUACUGUCCGGCUUGAGGGUGAGAGAGGAGAGUGGAAUUCCCGGUGUAGCGGUGGAAUGCGUAGAGAUCGGGAGGAACACCAGUGGCGAAGGCGGCUUCCUGGCCAUGGCCUGACGCUGAGGUGCGAAAGCCAGGGGAGCGAACGGGAUUAGAUCCCCCGGUAGU